GGUGAGUAACACGUGAGCAACCUGCCCCUGACUCUGGGAUAAGCGCUGGAAACGGCGUCUAAUACUGGAUAUGUGAUGUGACCGCAUGGUCUGCAUCUGGAAAGAAUUUCGGUUGGGGAUGGGCUCGCGGCCUAUCAGCUUGUUGGUGAGGUAAUGGCUCACCAAGGCGUCGACGGGUAGCCGGCCUGAGAGGGUGACCGGCCACACUGGGACUGAGACACGGCCCAGACUCCUACGGGAGGCAGCAGUGGGGAAUAUUGCACAAUGGGCGCAAGCCUGAUGCAGCAACGCCGCGUGAGGGAUGACGGCCUUCGGGUUGUAAACCUCUUUUAGCAGGGAAGAAGCGAAAGUGACGGUACCUGCAGAAAAAGCACCGGCUAACUACGUGCCAGCAGCCGCGGUAAUACGUAGGGUGCAAGCGUUAUCCGGAAUUAUUGGGCGUAAAGAGCUCGUAGGCGGUUUGUCGCGUCUGCUGUGAAAUCUGGAGGCUCAACCUCCAGCCUGCAGUGGGUACGGGCAGACUAGAGUGCGGUAGGGGAGAUUGGAAUUCCUGGUGUAGCGGUGGAAUGCGCAGAUAUCAGGAGGAACACCGAUGGCGAAGGCAGAUCUCUGGGCCGUUACUGACGCUGAGGAGCGAAAGGGUGGGGAGCAAACAGGCUUAGAUACCCUGGUAGUCCACCCCGUAAACGUUGGGAACUAGUUGUGGGGUCCAUUCCACGGAUUCCGUGACG
rnacentral:rRNA from 1 species